ensembl:ncRNA F19G12.12 ncRNA
CAAGUUGAUAUUGAUUAACUGAGGAGCAACAAUUGGAGCACAUCUUUGAACACAUUGCUGAUGGCAUUGUGAUUGACAAUGUUGAACUGGUUGAGUUUGAACACAUUGCUGAGAGCACUGCUGUUGGCAUUGUGGCAUGCAUUGAGCUGGAGCAGGUGGAGUAUAACAGGAAGUAGUCUGACAACUUUGUUGGCAGGAAGAUUGGCAUUCUUGCACAAACGGAGCAGAAUGACAAUGGAUCUGGCAUGACUGCUGACAAGCUGGAGCACACUGAGAAGUCGGCACUAGGUAAGUUUGUUGCUGAACUGGUUGGGCACACGAGCAGGAUGUCUGGACUGGAGCAGUGUUUUGACAGGAGCAACUGGUCUCUUGUGGUUGAGUGUAAGGGGUUUGUUGGCAUGAGCAACUUGGUUGAACUUUUGGAGCACAG